AAAUGUGCAGCCACAUGAUAUUAUUGCAGAACUGGCCAAGAAUAUAGACCACAAGAAAGUCAGCCGGUUCAAUAUAUGUCGUACUGAUGUGUGGGAUGGAGCUGUUCGGGGCUUUCAGAGGAGCACAUACUCUGACAAGAACGACAUGUUCAUCAAAUUUAACGAUGAUGCUGGCUGUUUGGAGGAAGGGUUUGACUCAGGUGGCCCAAGGCGUGAGUUUUUCACGCUUCUUAUGGCCAGUUUGAGAAGUCGUCCUAUCUUUGAUGGACCCCCAGAAGCUCGAUACGUCGUGUGCAAUUCGAGAGGUCCUGGAAGCUGAAUCAGAUGAAGCUCUGGUUCCAAACUGCUGGCUGCUUCAGAAGUAUGAAGACUUCUGAGAAGAAAGCUUUUGUAGACGAGUAUCUCAGAUGGUACAUCCUUGAAAGAAACCACAGUGCCAUUCAACGAUUCAAAGAUGGAUUGGCAAGUCUUGUUUUUUUCGCUGCACUGCAACAGCAUUCCAGUGUCCUGUCCCCAGUACUAUGUUUCUCCGCCAAGGCCCUUACUGCUUCAGACUUGGAGACCAUGUUUAAACCAGAUCUCAGCCCAGUAGGAACCAAUACACGGCAAAAGGAGGGCAAAACAAUCGUCUUCUGGGCAGAUUAUUUACUUGCGAAGAGAAAAACACUGCUGUGUCUCUAGAAGUCCUGAUGUUUGCUACAGGCCUGACAGCGAUUCCACCAGCAGGCAUGAUGCCAUCCCCACAUCUUCAGUUUUUGAGUAAUUCACCCUUUCCUGUUGCAAACACUUGUGCAAAUACACUGAAGCUGCCACUUUUGGAAUCUUAUGCUGCUUUUAGGGCUAACAUGGACUUUGGAAUACAAAAUGCUCCGGGAUUCGGAUGCUACUGAAACUGACAGAAGAAAUUUCUUGGCAGUCUUCUUCUAAUGCUGUUGGCAUUCAGCUAGUUUUGUGAUGAUUGCUCCAUGGGCCAGACCAUGUAUUUUUUUUAGACUGGUGUAUGUCUGGUUUAAGCUCACGGUCCGGGCAUUUGUAAUAUGUCCAUAAUAUUGUUUAUUGUAUCAUCUUAAAAGGGGAUACACUUGGCUUUCAUUUAAGCCAAGUUUUGAAUAUGACCAACUCAGAGGUCACCAGAGCUUGUUAAAACUAAAUAACAUCAAUCCUUUUUGCCUUACCAAGAAACAUUGUUUUUACUCCAGUGGUAUCCAGGGACACAAGAGUUGACAACUAAAAUACUUAGACUAAGAAAUCCGGAAAUGUGUACCAUAUACAGUUUUUUAGAUUAGCCUACCAUUAUGUAAUCCAUAAUAACCACAUCAAAACAUGACUGCAUGGUAGGCUAGUAUAGACCACAGGUUCUAAUAUAGUCAAUGAGGUAAGGCUUUUGCUCUACUAAUUUUCCGCCUGCUUGUCUGCUGGUC